GGGAGGAAGUGACUGCCGUGAGUCACUUCCUCCCAGAUAGAAUGAAGCCGCGCGGGAUGGAGCAGGAGGCCGUCAGGAGGGAGCUGGAGUGCAGGAACCUCACACUCCCAACGACCUCAGCCUGCAGCUGGACCCCAGGGAAUCCAUAAGGUAGGGCUGGAGGGUGGCUUUAUAAAUGUAAACUUUGCAUGUGUGUGUGUCAGUAUUUGUGUGAGUCAGUAUGUCUGUGUGUGUCUUAGUAUGUGUGUGAGUAUGUAUGUCAGGGUUUCUGUGUGUGUCUUAGUAUGUGUGUAUGUGUGUGAGUUUGUCUGUC